AGCCUUUAGCUCAUCUACAAUUAAAGGUACCGCCUGCCCAAUGAGGAAACCCUUAAACGGCCGCGUAUAUUAACCGUGCAAAGGUAGCAAAAUCAUUCGUCCCACAAAUAGGGACCAGCAUGAAUGGCAACAUGAGAGAGAAACUGUCUCUUUAGGCCAGCCCGUGAACUUGACCUCCCUGUUCAAACGCAGGGAUACAAAAACAAGACAAAAAGACCCUGUGAAACUUCAAAUGUCCAUCAACCCAAUGACUGGAACACUUUAGGUUGGGGCAACCAAAGAGAAACACAAACCUCAUCUUCAGUCGCACGGCAAACAGGCCAAGCAACACCACUAACAGACCCAGCACCACUGACUAAAGAACCAAGCUACUCCAGGGAUAACAGCGCCACAUUCUUGAAGAGUCCAUAUCAACAAGAAUACCUACGACCUCGAUGUUGGAUUAGGGUAUCCUAAUGGCGCAAAAGCUAUUAAGGGCUCGUUUGUUCAACGAUUAAAACCCC
rnacentral:rRNA from 1 species